rnacentral:rRNA from 1 species
UCAAGAUUGUUAAGGCGAACGGUGGAUGCCUUGGCACAGGAGCCGAUGAAGGGACGUACGAGCUGCGAUAAGCCGCGGGGAGCUGUCAACCGAGCGUUGAUCCGGGAUCCGAAUGGGGAACCGCCACCAGUAGUGGGAUGUGACCCGCGCCUGAAUAUAUAGGGCGUGUGGGGGACAAGGGGGGGAAGUGAAAACAUCUUCAGUACCCACAGGAAGAGGGAAAAACAACAGUGAUUCCGUGAGUCGUGGCGAGCGAAAGCGGAUGAGGCCCAAACCAUGUGCAUGGAUAGCCGCAGGUGUUGUGCAUGUGGGGUUGUGGGACGAUUGCGUACUCCGCUGCCGCGGGGUGAGUUAGUCAUAAAGGUGUGGUGUAGUGGAAGGCAUCUGGAAGGGGUCCCGUAGAGGGUGAGGCCCGUACACGAAAACUAUGCCCUGCCUUGGAAACGUAUCCCAAGUAGCACCGAGUCUUGGAUCGGUGUGAAGUGGCGGGACCACCAGCUAAGAAUGAAUACUCCCUGUGGACCGAAGCGCGACAAGUAACGUGAGGGAAAGGUGAAAAGUUACCCGGAGGGGAGUGAAAUAGGACCUGAAACCGUGUGCCUACAGCCGUGGAGCCUUACGAUAUGUGGUGUGGGGGUGAUGCGGGCCUUUUGAAGAUGAGCCUGCGAGUUGCGGACUGGCGAGGUUAACCCGUUGGGGUAGCCGUAGGAAAGCGAGUACGAAGAGGGCGUUUCAGUCGCGUGCUCUAGACCCGAAGCCGAUGUGAUCUCCCCAUGGCCAGGUUGAAGCGCGGGUAAGACCGGUGGAGGACCGAACCCAUUCGGUUGAAAAACGGAGGGGAUGAGCUGUGGGUAGGGGUGAAAGGCCAAUAAAAGCUCGGUGAUGCUGGUUCUCCCCGAAAUGCAUUUUAGGUGCAGGCGUCGCCGUGGUUCUUUGCCGGAGGGAGAGCAUGGAUGGUAGGGGCACACAAGGUUACUGAAAUCAACCAAACUCGAAUGCCGGGAAGUGAGAGUCGGCGGCAGUGAGACCUGCGGGCGAUUAAGGUUCGUAGUCGAGAGGAAACAGCCAGAUCAUCAGCUAAGGCCCUAAGGUGUGCUAAGUGGAAAAGGAUGUGGAAUCGAGUGACAACCAGGAGGUUGGCUUAGAGCAGCCACCCUUGAGAAGAGUGCGUAAUAGCUCAAUGAGUCAAGUGAUCGCGCCGACCAAUGUAGCGGGCUCAGCACACCGACGAAGCUAUGGGGGCACUCCCAUGUAGCCCGUCAUCAUGAUUCGUGUGGGGGCCAGGUUGGGGGUGGGUAGGGAGAGGUCGUGUGGGGGUUGAAGCGGGCGGAGGAAUCCAGCCGUGGACGCCACACGAGUGAGAAUGCAGGAAUGAUAGCGAAAGGGGAGUGAGAAACUCCCCCGGAUGACCAAGGGUCCUGCGGCCAGGCUAAUCCGCCAGGGGUGAGUCGGGACCCUAAGGCGAGGCCGACAGGCGUAGUCGAUAGCCAACGGGUUGAUCUUCCCGUACCCGCGAAGAGCGCCCAUGCUGAACCCAGCGAUGCUAACGUCUGAAGCUCCGUGCUGGUGGCCCUUCGGGGUUGCCACGUGGGGUGGACCGCGGGACCGGACUGGAGUAGGCAAGCGAUGGUGGGUGACGCAGGAAGGUAGUCCUUACCGGUGAGUGUAGAAAGGUGCAGGGGGGCCCCGCGAGUAGGCAAAAUCGCGUCGCAUACAGGGUGAGGCCUGAUGCAUAGCCGAAUGAGGCGAAUGGGCUGAUCCUAGCUGCCGAGAAAAGCCUCUAGCGAGCGCUGGGAGCGGCCAGUACCCCAAACCAACUCAGGUGGUCAGGUAGAGAUACCAGGCGAUCGAGCGAACUGUGGUUAAGGAACUCGGCCAAAUUCCCCCGUAAAUUCGGGAGAAGGUGGGGGCAAUGUAUGUCAUGGCACUUGCUGCAGGCAGCGAGGCGUGGCAGCAGAGACCAGUGAGAAGCGACUGUUAAUAAAAACACAGGCCGUGCGAAGUCGAAAGACGAGGUAUACGGGCUGACGCUGCCCGGGGCGGGAACGUAAGGGGACGGGUUAGCUCUUUGGGGCGAAGCUAGAAUCAAGCGCAGUUAAACGGCGGUGUAACUAGCCCAUCCUAAGGUAGCGAAAGUCUUGUCGGGUAAGUCCGACCUGCCACGAAUGGCGUAAAACGACUUCUCAGCUGUCAACAAGGCUCGGCGAAAUUGCACUACGGAGUAAGAUGCUCGUACGCGCGGCAGGACGGAAGACCCAGGAGGACUCACUAGAGCUUGAUAUGUGUUCGUUCGUUUGUGUAGGCUAGGUGGGAGACGUGAGCGGGCACGACAGUGUUGUGGAGUCGUCGUUGAAAUACCAUCUGGUCGCAUUGGAUGUCAACCCGGUCCGUGAUCCGGAUAGGGACAGGUGGUGGGUAGUUUAACUGGGGCGGUUGCCUCCCAAAAUGUAACGGAGGCGCCCAAAGGUUCCCUCAGCCUGGUUGGACAAUCAGGUGUCGAGUGCAAGUGCACAAGGGAGCUGACUGUGAGGACCGACGGGUCGAGCAGGAGCGAAAGCUGGGAAUAGUGACCCGGCACCGGCAUGUGGAAGCGGUGUCGCUCAACGGAUAAAGGUACCGGGAUAAAGGUGAUCUUCCCCAGAGUCCAUAUCGACGGGAUGGUUUGGGCAACUCGAUGUCGGCUCG